UACGUAGGGUGCAAGCGUUAAUCGGAAUUACUAGGCGUAAAGCGUGCGCAGGCGGUUUUGUAAGACAGAUGUGAAAUGCCCGGGCUUAACCUGGGAACUGCAUUUGUGACUGCAAGGCUAGAGUUUGGCAGAGGGGGGUAGAAUUCCACGUGUAGCAGUGAAAUGCGUAGAUAUGUGGAGGAAUACCGAUGGCGAAGGCAGCCCCCUGGGUCAAGACUGACGCUCAUGCACGAAAGCGUGGGGAGCAAUCAGG
rnacentral:rRNA from 1 species